rnacentral:rRNA from 1 species
GACGAACGCUGGCGGCGUGCUUAACACAUGCAAGUCGAACGGAAAGGCCCUGCUUUUGUGGGGUGCUCGAGUGGCGAACGGGUGAGUAACACGUGAGUAACCUGCCCUUGACUUUGGGAUAACUUCAGGAAACUGGGGCUAAUACCGGAUAGGAGCUCCUGCUGCAUGGUGGGGGUUGGAAAGUUUCGGCGGUUGGGGAUGGACUCGCGGCUUAUCAGCUUGUUGGUGGGGUAGUGGCUUACCAAGGCUUUGACGGGUAGCCGGCCUGAGAGGGUGACCGGCCACAUGGGGACUGAGAUACGGACCAGAAUCCUAAGGGAGGCAGCAGGGGGGAAUAUUGCACAAUGGGCGGAAGCCUGAUGCAGCAACGCCGCGUGCGGGAUGACGGACUUCGGGUUGUAAACCGCUUUCGCCUGUGACGAAGCGUGAGUGACGGUAAUGGGUAAAGAAGCACCGGCUAACUACGUG